AUUGAACGCUGGCGGCAUGCCUUACACAUGCAAGUCGAACGGCAGCACGGGAGCAAUCCUGGUGGCGAGUGGCGAACGGGUGAGUAAAGUAUCGGAACGUGCCCAGUCGUGGGGGAUAACGUAGCGAAAGUUACGCUAAUACCGCAUACGAUCUAUGGAUGAAAGCGGGGGAUCGCAAGACCUCGCGCCAGUGGAGCGGCCGAGAUCAGAUUAGGUAGGUGGUGGGGUAAAGGCUCACCAAGCCGACGAUCUGUAGCUGGUCUGAGAGGACGACCAGCCACACUGGGACUGAGACACGGCCCAGACUCCUACGGGAGGCAGCAGUGGGGAAUUUUGGACAAUGGGCGAAAGCCUGAUCCAGCCAUGCCGCGUGCAGGAUGAAGGCCUUCGGGUUGUAAACUGCUUUUGUACGGAACGAAAAGGUUUGGCCUAAUAAGCUGAGCUCAUGACGGUACCGUAAGAAUAAGCACCGGCUAACUACGUGCCAGCAGCCGCCGUAA
rnacentral:rRNA from 1 species